rnacentral:rRNA from 1 species
UACGUAGGGUGCGAGCGUUAAUCGGAAUUACUGGGCGUAAAGCGUGCGCAGGCGGUUCGUUGUGUCGGCGGUGAAAGCCCCGGGCUUAACCUGGGAAUGGCCGUUGAAACUGGCGAACUGGAGUGUGGCAGAGGGGGUGGAAUUCCGCGUGUAGCAGUGAAUGCGUAGAGAUGCGGAGGAACACCGAUGGCGAAGGCAGCCCCCUGGGCUAACACUGACGCUCAGGCACGAAAGCGUGGGGAGCAAACAGG